rnacentral:rRNA from 1 species
AUUGAACGCUGGCGGCAGGCUUAACACAUGCAAGUCGAGCGGGGGAAGGUAGCUUGCUACCGGACCUAGCGGCGGACGGGUGAGUAAUGCUUAGGAAUCUGCCUAUUAGUGGGGGACAACAUCUUGAAAGGGAUGCUAAUACCGCAUACGUCCUACGGGAGAAAGCAGGGGAUCUUCGGACCUUGCGCUAAUAGAUGAGCCUAAGUCGGAUUAGCUAGUUGGUGGGGUAAAGGCCUACCAAGGCGACGAUCUGUAGCGGGUCUGAGAGGAUGAUCCGCCACACUGGGACUGAGACACGGCCCAGACUCCUACGGGAGGCAGCAGUGGGGAAUAUUGGACAAUGGGGGAAACCCUGAUCCAGCCAUGCCGCGUGUGUGAAGAAGGCCUUAUGGUUGUAAAGCACUUUAAGCGAGGAGGAGGCUCUUUUGGUUAAUACCCAAGAUGAGUGGACGUUACUCGCAGAAUAAGCACCGGCUAACUCUGUGCCAGCAGCCGCAGUAA